ensembl:snRNA U6 U6 spliceosomal RNA
AAAUUCAUGCAAUACAUAUACUAAAUUUGGAAUGAUACAGAGAAGAUUAGCAUGACUCCUGCUCAAGGAUGAUGCAUAUUUUUGGAGUGUUUCAUAUUUUAUUU